UAAGGAAUAUUGGUCAAUGGACGCAAGUCUGAACCAGCCAUGCCGCGUGAAGGAUGAAGGUCCUCUGGAUUGUAAACUUCUUUUAUCUGGGACGAAAACGGGAUUUUUAUCUCAAUUGACGGUACCAGAGGAAUAAGCACCGGCUAACUCCGUGCCAGCAGCCGCGGUAAUACGGAGGGUGCGAGCGUUAUCCGGAUUUACUGGGUUUAAAGGGUGCGUAGGUGGGCUUAUAAGUCAGUGGUGAAAUCUCCGAGCUUAACUUGGAAACUGCCGUUGAUACUAUAGGUCUUGAAUUAUCUGGAGGUAAGCGGAAUAUGUCUUGUAGCGGUGAAAUGCUUAGAUAUGACAUAGCACACCAAUUGCGAAGGCAGCUUACUACAUAUAAAUUGACGCUGAGGCACGAAAGCGUGGGGAUCAAACA
rnacentral:rRNA from 1 species